AGAGUUUGAUCCUGGCUCAGGACGAACGCUGGCGGCGUGGAUUAGGCAUGCAAGUCGAGCGACGAACCUUCGGGUUACGGAGCGGCGAACGGGUGAGUAACACGUGAUCAACCUGUCCCUACAUUCCGGAUAAUUGGCCGAAAGGCCUUGUAAUACGGGCGAGGAUCUCUGGAAGGCAUCUUCUGGAGAGGGAACACGCAAGUGGUGCGGGGAGGGGAUCGCGUCCCAUCAGGUAGUUGGUGAGGUAACGGCCCACCAAGCCUACGACGGGUAGCUGGUCUGAGAGGAUGGUCAGCCACAUUGGAACUGAGACACUGUCCAGACUCCUACGGGAGGCUGCAGUCGAGAAUCUUGCACAAUGCACGAAAGUGUGAUGCAGCGACGCCGCGUGAAGGAUGAAGGCCCUUGGGUCGUAAACUUCUUUUACUGGGGAAGAAUAAAUGACGGUACCCAGUGAAUAAGCCACGGCUAACUACGUGCCAGCAGCCGCGGUAAUACGUAGGUGGCAAGCGUUGUCCGGAUUUACUGGGUGUAAAGGGUGCGCAGGCGGACCUUUAAGUAGAAAGUGAAAGGUUGGAGCUCAACUCCGACACUGCUUCCUAUACUGGGGGUCUUGAGUCUUGGAGGGGGAAGCGGAACGACACGUGUAGCGGUGAAAUGCGUUGAUAUGUCGGAACACCAAUGGCGAAAGCAGCUUCCUGGACAAGUACUGACGCUCAGGCACGAAAGCCAAGGUAGCAAACAGGAUUAGAUACCCUAGUAGUCC
rnacentral:rRNA from 1 species